rnacentral:tRNA from 1 species
UAAUGUGGCUCAGUUGGUAGAGCAGUUGAUUCGUAAUCAACAGGUCGAGGGUUCGAGUCCCUCCAUUA